ACUCCUACGGGAGGCAGCAGUGAGGAAUAUUGGUCAAUGGGCGCAAGCCUGAACCAGCCAUGCCGCGUGCAGGAAGACUGCCCUAUGGGUUGUAAACUGCUUUUAUACAGGAAGAAACACUCCCUCGUGAGGGAGCUUGACGGUACUGUAAGAAUAAGGAUCGGCUAACUCCGUGCCAGCAGCCGCGGUAAUACGGAGGAUCCAAGCGUUAUCCGGAAUCAUUGGGUUUAAAGGGUCCGUAGGUGGAUUAGUAAGUCAGAGGUGAAAUCCUGCAGCUCAACUGUAGAACUGCCUUUGAUACUGCUAGUCUUGAGUCAUUAUGAAGUGGUUAGAAUGUGUAGUGUAGCGGUGAAAUGCAUAGAUAUUACACAGAAUACCGAUUGCGAAGGCAGAUCACUAAUAAUGUACUGACACUGAUGGACGAAAGCGUGGGAGCGAACAGGAUUAGAUACCCCGUGGUAGCGACUGA
rnacentral:rRNA from 1 species